rnacentral:misc_RNA from 1 species
GAGACAAGCAUAUGACUACUGGCAGGAUCAACCAGGUAGCGUUCCUUCGCGACGCCGACGCCCGCACGACGCCCGACGGGCCGUUAGGCCGCGGGCUCGAGACGGGCAUGGCAGUCGUUCGCGUCGAGGGACAAAAUGCGUUGCUCGGGCGAACGGAGCCUGUUUGUUGUAACAGACCCCACGCCCGCGCGUAACGUUCCGCAUCCGAGAGAACGGGCACGGCACACCGUGGGCCGAGGCAGCCGAGCGACUGGGCGAGGCCUGCCGGGAACACGGGGCGUGCCUGACGUCCACCCCGCAGCCCGCGAGGGCUGGGGGCGGAGAGGGACGAACGGGACCGUCGGAUUCCUUUCGAUAGGUAAGCAACACAGGAUACCGAA